UGGCGCUAGACCUAGACCUACACUUGUACUUGUAGCGCUGAUUGAUUUCUGCGUCUUCGAUCAUACCAAAUUUGUAGUGUGUUUGAGAGGAUUUUGUCUUUGAGAACGCUUGUCAAGACUGCACUGCAUGGUGUGAGGGUACGGUGAUAUCAGCUGAGCGCUUGGCACGCGUGCACGGCAGCUGUCGAACAGGCAGGAUCGCUUGGCUGCUCCUUGCCACCGUACCGUACCUAGACUAGGCUACAAUGUAGGCUAGAGUGAACUGUUAUGAACGUAGUCAUUGUGAUCCUUACGACAUUAGGUGGGUGGCAGGACUUGUGAGGUUGGGACAAUCGCGAACGCCAUAAUCCUUUCAUUCGGAGGCUUGAUCGCUUAGAACCAGGGAGGGGAUUUUACGAAUCACCUGUAGAUUUACCAGUAGCUAGCAGGCGACGCGUGCUGUGUGUCGUGCGGAUCACUUUUCGUUCCAGAAGUCAGUUUUAGUUUCCCUGUAGAUCUUGUUCUGAGGCCGUUCGAGUGCUUGCUGGCGAAGAGCGGUGAUCUACUGUACGUGCACCAAGGGAUAGUCGUUCGCUGCAAGAUUCAACUCGUGGGAUUUGUCCGCUGUGAUCGCAUAUUAAAGCUUAGUCAAGUUCUCAAGCAGAGGGAGUGAGGAUGAAUCUCCGCUGGCUCUUCACCAUCGUGUGGUUCCUGCUGCUGUUGCUUCUAUGGCCGCUAUCGUUGCUCUGCGGAAUGCUGUACGGGCUGAUCCUGCCGUUCAGUGCCUGCUGCAAUUGCACGUCAUCUCUCACCGAUAUCCUUAUGAAGGGAACGCGCCUCGGCUACCACCUCGCCAGUAAGAUGGUGUCUGGCUCCGAUAGCUGUUAGCAGGCCCAGGCCUAGCUUGUGAGUGGUAGCGUCCAACACAAAUGUGUGUGUGUGUGUGUGUAUACCGGUAAGAUGUGUCUGACUCUCAGGGUCAAAGCUACUCACAACACAUGUAUGAGUGUCCAGUAGCCAACCUGAGCAACUGUGGCAAUCAACUGCUAUAAUCAUAUAGCUAUGUAGCGAACACUCUCCCCGGUGCUGGUGGGGCCUGCCUCCGUGUACUAUGAGGUCAAUGUUUGUUUUCUUCUGUGGGAUAGAAUCCAAAAUGAAGUAUAGCAAUCUUUGAAUUCCACGGCACCGGAGUUUCGCAGUCAGUUCAAGAGUUGACGCACUCCCAAGAUGUUUAUUCCGACACUAGAAAUGGCCUUUUCUAUAGCAAUUGCAGUCUCUUCACCAUAUCUAUUAUUGGACGUAUUGUUAUCAAAACGCUGUUCAUCCGGAGUAUAGUCCACUGGCGCAUGAGGUAACAGUGGUUGUUUAAUAACUCGAUUUUUAUUUCUCACGUUUUCUUUUUCGUAUCCUUUUUUACCAUUUUAGGCAUUGCGCUUUUCUUCAUUUAGAAGCUGGAAAGUAUUUAAAAAUCUCUAGGUUUUUAUUUGUGGCUUCAUAAAAUCUCGUCUUGGAGACCCUUGACUUUUCCCCUUUUAUUGGCAUAUUUUGUUUUGUUUUUUUGAUAUUAAUACACGGCUGAAGGUAGUUAUGGAAGGUGAUCUUAUCGGAUCAUUUCCAGUAAGAAUGCCUGGUCAAGAGUGAUACCUAAACUCAUUGCAUGUAAAGUUGUAAGCCGUAGUGGACUGGUCACAGUUAGAGUGAAUAUGGCCGUCUUCAGGUAACUGGCCAAGCAUACUCGUGUGGGUCUUA